rnacentral:rRNA from 1 species
AUCCUGGCUCAGGACGAACGCUGGCGGCGUGCUUAACACAUGCAAGUCGAACGAGAGCGUAGAGAAAGCUUGCUUUUUCUACAAUCUAGUGGCAAACGGGUGAGUAACGCGUAAACAACCUGCCCUACGGAUGGGGACAACAGCUGGAAACGGCUGCUAAUACCGAAUACGUUCCGAAAGUCGCAUGACUAUCGGAAGAAAGGAUGGCCUCUAUUUAUAAGCUAUCGCCGGAGGAGGGGUUUGCGUCUGAUUAGCUAGUUGGAGGGGUAACGGCCCACCAAGGCGACGAUCAGUAGCCGGUCUGAGAGGAUGAACGGCCACAUUGGAACUGAGACACGGUCCAGACUCCUACGGGAGGCAGCAGUGGGGAAUCUUCCGCAAUGGGCGAAAGCCUGACGGAGCAACGCCGCGUGAGUGAAGAAGGAUUUCGGUUCGUAAAGCUCUGUUGUUAGGGAAGAAUGAUUGUAUAGUAACUAUAUACAGUAGAGACGGUACCUAACCAGAAAGCCACGGCUAACUACGUGCCAGCAGCCGCGGUAAUACGUAGGUGGCAAGCGUUGUCCGGAAUUAUUGGGCGUAAAGGGCGCGCAGGCGGCUUCUUAAGUCUGUCUUAAAAGUGCGGGGCUUAACCCCGUGAUGGGAUGGAAACUGGGAAGCUCAGAGUAUCGGAGAGGAAAGCGGAAUUCCUAGUGUAGCGGUGAAAUGCGUAGAUAUUAGGAGGAACACCAGUGGCGAAAGCGGCUUUCUGGACGAAAACUGACGCUGAGGCGCGAAAGCCAGGGGAGCGAACGGGAUUAGAUACCCCGGUAGUCCUGGCCGUAAACGAUGGGUACUAGGUGUAGGAGGUAUCGACCCCUUCUGUGCCGGAGUUAACGCAAUAAGUACCCCGCCUGGGGAGUACGACCGCAAGGUUGAAACUCAAAGGAAUUGACGGGGGCCCGCACAAGCGGUGGAGUAUGUGGUUUAAUUCGACGCAACGCGAAGAACCUUACCAAGCCUUGACAUUGAUCGCAAGGAGUAGAGAUACUCUGUUCUUCUUCGGAAGACGAGAAAACAGGUGGUGCACGGCUGUCGUCAGCUCGUGUCGUGAGAUGUUGGGUUAAGUCCCGCAACGAGCGCAACC